rnacentral:rRNA from 1 species
GAUGAACGCUGGCGGCGUGCCUAAUACAUGCAAGUCGAGCGAACAGAUAAGGAGCUUGCUCCUUUGACGUUAGCGGCGGACGGGUGAGUAACACGUGGGUAACCUACCUAUAAGACUGGGAUAACUUCGGGAAACCGGAGCUAAUACCGGAUAACAUUUGGAACCGCAUGGUUCUAAAGUGAAAGAUGGUUUUGCUAUCACUUAUAGAUGGACCCGCGCCGUAUUAGCUAGUUGGUAAGGUAACGGCUUACCAAGGCGACGAUACGUAGCCGACCUGAGAGGGUGAUCGGCCACACUGGAACUGGGACACGGUCCAGACUCCUACGGGAGGCAGCAGUAGGGAAUCUUCCGCAAUGGGCGGAAGCCUGACGGAGCAACGCCGCGUGAGUGAUGAAGGGUUUCGGCUCGUAAAACUCUGUUAUUAGGGAAGAACAAAUGUGUAAGUAACUGUGCACGUCUUGACGGUACCUAAUCAGAAAGCCACGGCUAACUACGUG